GACCAAGGGUUCCUGUCCAACGUUAAUCGGGGCAGGGUGAGUCGACCCCUAAGGCGAGGCCGAAAGGCGUAGUCGAUGGGAAACAGGUUAAUAUUCCUGUACUUGGUGUUACUGCGAAGGGGGGACGGAGAAGGCUAUGUUGGCCGGGCGACGGUUGUCCCGGUUUAAGCGUGUAGGCUGGUUUUCCAGGCAAAUCCGGAAAAUCAAGGCUGAGGCGUGAUGACGAGGCACUACGGUGCUGAAGCAACAAAUGCCCUGCUUCCAGGAAAAGCCUCUAAGCAUCAGGUAACAUCAAAUCGUACCCCAAACCGACACAGGUGGUCAGGUAGAGAAUACCAAGGCGCUUGAGAGAACUCGGGUGAAGGAACUAGGCAAAAUGGUGCCGUAACUUCGGGAGAAGGCACGCUGAUAUGUAGGUGAAGUCCCUCGCGGAUGGAGCUGAAAUCAGUCGAAGAUACCAGCUGGCUGCAACUGUUUAUUAAAAACACAGCACUGUGCAAACACGAAAGUGGACGUAUACGGUGUGACGCCUGCCCGGUGCCGGAAGGUUAAUUGAUGGGGUCAGCGCAAGCGAAGCUCUUGAUCGAAGCCCCGGUAAACGGCGGCCGUAACUAUAACGGUCCUAAGGUAGCGAAAUUCCUUGUCGGGUAAGUUCCGACCUGCACGAAUGGCGUAAUGAUGGCCAGGCUGUCUCCACCCGAGACUCAGUGAAAUUGAACUCGCUGUGAAGAUGCAGUGUACCCGCGGCAAGACGGAAAGACCCCGUGAACCUUUACUAUAGCUUGACACUGAACAUUGAGCCUUGAUGUGUAGGAUAGGUGGGAGGCUUGGAAGUGUGGACGCCAGUCUGCAUGGAGCCGACCUUGAAAUACCACCCUUUAAUGUUUGAUGUUCUAACGUGGACCCGUAAUCCGGGUUGCGGACAGUGUCUGGUGGGUAGUUUGACUGGGGCGGUCUCCUCCUAAAGAGUAACGGAGGAGCACGAAGGUUGGCUAAUCCUGGUCGGACAUCAGGAGGUUAGUGCAAUGGCAUAAGCCAGCUUGACUGCGAGCGUGACGGCGCGAGCAGGUGCGAAAGCAGGUCAUAGUGAUCCGGUGGUUCUGAAUGGAAGGGCCAUCGCUCAACGGAUAAAAGGUACUCCGGGGAUAACAGGCUGAUACCGCCCAAGAGUUCAUAUCGACGGCGGUGUUUGGCACCUCGAUGUCGGCUCAUCACAUCCUGGGGCUGAAGUAGGUCCCAAGGGUAUGGCUGUUCGCCAUUUAAAGUGGUACGCGAGCUGGGUUUAGAACGUCGUGAGACAGUUCGGUCCCUAUCUGCCGUGGGCGCUGGAGAACUGAGGGGGGCUGCUCCUAGUACGAGAGGACCGGAGUGGACGCAUCACUGGUGUUCGGGUUGUCAUGCCAAUGGCACUGCCCGGUAGCUAAAUGCGGAAGAGAUAAGUGCUGAAAGCAUCUAAGCACGAAACUUG
rnacentral:rRNA from 1 species